CUAAUAAUAAAUCACUACUUUUAAGCGUAAUAGCAGCAAGUAUUACUUCAAUGUGUGAAGAGAACAUGCAGAGCUACAGCUUUGUUAAUUUAGCAUUAAAGAACUCACUUUCUUAAUGGAAGGGCGAAAUGAAAGGCUGAGCUUUUCAAAAAUAUAUUUAUGUCCGCAAAAAAUAUUAGUGGCGCAUUAAAGCAAUCAACGGCUUGGACCUUAGCCACGCGCAUCAUGCCUUAAUCCUCCAUCCUAAGUCAUCCUCACCAUCAUUUGGCUGACGAGGCUGCUGACUUCCACACAACCUGAGAAGCUGAAAAAAAAAAACAAAUAAACUCACACUUCAUCAUAAAUCACUACUGCUUGUGCAUGCAUGCGUGUGUGUUGCAGAUGGGGAUCACAAGGGGCACCAUGUUGCAAAUCGAAGCACUUUCCGAAAGAAUCAACAACAUGACAUACCUGCUCAGCCGAGAUGAGGUGGCGAAGGAGCUAAGGAAGUCUCAGACAGCUCUAGUUUGAAGCAACUUCAAGUGACGCUAACCACUGAGCACUGGCCUAACCACACUGCAUCUACUCCAACGAGCCACUGCAGUCAACGUAACGUGGAACACGAUACAAUUUGGAGUGGAAAAAAAAAAACGGAUUCACCAUCAUUGUGGUCCCAGUUUGACACUGUACCAUACUGUACCCGUGAACAUGUUUAGCCGUCUAAUGCAAUGCCGCAAGUGAGUGUCAGUCAUCACAUCAGUCUUAUUGUGUGUUUCAUUGCAGUGCAUGAGUGUGUAGGUUUUGAUCUAAUGUGGUAAAAAGCAAUAAAAUACACAAAUACCUCAACUCUUUUAACAGAACGUGUGAGAUAUAUGUCGUGUAAAAAUAACAUUUUGUUAAUGACCUCUUUACCCAGUAACUACUAUGACUGAUUGACUUUUACUAGAAUUCACAUCGGAUGCUAUUUUUUGAAGCCACGUGUUUUGUGCCAGUCCACACAGGUAGUGUAGGGGCACAUGCAGAAGUUGUCAUGCAGAUGACACACGUUUAAUUCCCAGUCAGUGCAUCGACACCAGCGGAGCUGGCAAAAAUAGGUGGAAUUGCAUCAGGAAUUGAGGAUGUGAAAACUGCCAAACAAGUCGUGAGUGACUCACUGUGAUGAUAGGAGAUUUGGUGCUGGCCCCAACCAUGCUGACCUACAACAGGUGGUGUUGUAUACUGUGGACAGAUAGUGAGAUUUACUUCAUAAAGAGAUAUCUUACUAUUACAAAGAUGGAUGUGUUCAAGGGAUCUGUUCAUGGAGUUCAUUUGCAAGUGUUUAUUCAAUUUUUCUGUUUUCUAAAGGUGGACUCAAUUUGACUCUCAUGCUGAUCAAAAAA